GCCUUCGUGGUGUAACAGUAACACAUUCGGCUCGUAUUCGAGAGGUCCAGGUUCGUGUCCCGGAGAAGGCA
rnacentral:tRNA from 1 species